rnacentral:rRNA from 1 species
GAUGAACGCUGGCGGCGUGCCUAAUACAUGCAAGUCGAGCGAAGCGGGGACGGGUGAGUAACACGUGGAUAACCUCCUAUAAGACUGGGAUCACUUCGGGAAACCGGAGAUAAACCGGCACCUUAUCGAUGGAACCGCGCUGCAUUAGCUAGUGGGUAAGGUAACGGCUUACCAAGGCCACGAUGCAUAGCCGACCUGAGAGGUGGAUCAGCCCCACUGGAACUUAGACACGGUCCAGACUCCUACGGGAGGCAGCAGUGGGGAAUCUUCCGCAAUGGGCGAAAGCCUGACGGGGCAACGCCGCGUGAGUGAUGAAGGUCUUCGGAUCGUAAAACUCUGUUAUUAGGGAAGCGGUACCUAAUCAGAAAGCCCCGGCUAACUACGUGCCAGCAGCCGCGGUAAUUC